CUCCGUCAUUAAACAAAUGCUGACGACUAAAAUGAGAACAAUUAGGUUUUUUUCUCAGAAUAACUACAUCAGUUCGGUAUGCAGGGCGUGAAUGGCAAACACUUGUCCUGAAACAUUGUGCCUGCGAAAAUUCAUAGCUAUAAAUUAGUGCAGCGCUGUGCAAAUUCAGUUUGGAGAGUAGCAGUCUAACCUGAUGUGAAGUGUGCUUUGUCCCUGAGGACAAAGUUAUAUUCAAGCAUCGAAACGUUGUUUCAAAACGGUUCGAUUUUCAGAAUCGUGCGUUACAUGAUUGGUGUAAAAUGUUGUAAGCAUAACAUUUUAGAUUAGAAUAACCAUUCCAUUUAUAGCAUACAGAUUCCAGUGGCCCAGACAUUAUUUUAACUCGAAUAAUAUUUCACCCUCCACGUUGAGGCGAUAUUCCGCGUUUGAGGAUGAUGGACGAGACGUACAGAAGAAGAACUUGCUGUCAUCAGCAACAAACGUGGCGGCGCCCGCAAGGUUGACUUUAUCGUCAUUAAUUCAUUAAAAAAUGACUUGUGUUUAGAAGCGACCAUAUCGUUAAUACAAAGACCGCAUUUCAAUAGCCUGUAUGGAUCUGUGCAAAACUACAUCAGUAAGUGUAUCAUUUUAUUUUGAAGGAUUCUUUCUCGCUGACGAAAGAGAAGGUCCACAAUGUUUCGAAAUCCGCGUCUCAAGCGAUCGGUAUUGACGUUUCUAAACGUUAAAAUACAACGUCGGGAUUGUAGUUCACAUGAGGCAGUUGUGGGCGAAGUUAAUGGCUGGAACUGUAGGGAGAAGGCAGAAUGCCUCCUAGAGUUUUCGAAGGCUAGCUAUUAUCAUAUGUCGAAUAUUGACGUCAAACUGGGUUUUGGCUAACUGUUUUUUGGGCAUGGAAUUAGACCUACAUUUGAGUGCGAGUAGUUUCCACAAAUUAAAGUUUGCCCCAGACCUGCUUCCCAUGUUCAGGAGACAGUAUGAGAACAACAUCUUAACAGGAGCCAAGUUUCCUGACCCAGGCUGUUAUGGCCACACCCAGUUCCACCUGGUCCCUAAUAGGUAUCGCAGGGACAAAAUGGCCAAACUGAAUCUGACUGACCAGAUCAGAUCGAGGUCUACCUGAGAGCUAAUGGCAUUGCCAGUCUAUUCGCAUGGACAGGAGCACAAGCCAUGUAUCAAGCUCAACUCCCUGGCCCUGUCCAUGAGAUGGAUGCUGUGAACCCCAGGAAGAACUUGUGCUGGGGGACAGACAGUAUUCAUCUGUAUGAAAUGAAGCAUGGUGUUGUGGUUUGGCUGGAUGACAGGGUCCUCAAGCUCCUGGUCUGGUUCCUACUGGGCAGGUCAGGUGGACAUGGAGAGAUGGUGUAUGCAGGGUAAAAUAAGUGUUUUUGUUGAACUGUUUCCAUCUGGAUUCAACAGUGGCAAAUGUCAAUUCAUGUACAUUGAACAUGGGCAGUGUUUAUGUACUGUGUGUAUGAUCUGGCAGAAUGUAUUCAUGUGGAAAGUAAAAAACAGUUGCAUACAGA